GCCUGGGUGGCUCAGUUGGUUAAGCGUCUGACUUUGGCUCAGGUCAUGAUCUCACGGUUCGUGGGUUUGAGCCCCGCGUUGGGCU
rfam:Felis catus isolate Cinnamon breed Abyssinian chromosome A1, whole genome shotgun sequence.